GUGGCUAACAAAAAAACUUAGUUGCCAUGGAAAUCCAAAGUUUUACUUUAGCCAAUUCUUCUAAAACUGACAUGGAUCUGUUCGUCAGCCCCAGACGACUGAAAUCUAAAAUGGUUGCUAUGGCGAUAAAGCAAAAGAAAACAUGUUUUGGUUGUUCAUGAAACUGUCAGAUGGGUGAAGGGAGACGACUGUGAGGGCAGGUUGGUGUAGUUCCUGCAAACCAACACCAUUCAUGGAAUUAUUCUUGUUUUUUUCCUUUGUUUUCAUUGAUGAGAAAUGGACCAAACCAAUGAGAAUCCAACCGUCACUGUGAAAAGGACAGAGGGACUCCCGACCAAUCAGCUCAGACUCAGCGGAGGUGGAGCUGCUCCCUCGUUCCUGACAGGAAGUGAGCAGACAAACUUCCUGAAGGUCAGGAUUUGAAGCUGCAGCUUCAUGAUCAGAAGAUCAAAGAUCAGAUCCAGAGGAUUAUGAGAUCUGACGACAGGAGAGCAGAUCUGGACCAUCAGUGUAAUGAGAGGAAUGAUUUAAUCUGUGAUGUUUGCAGCAAAAAGAUGAUUUAAGCGAUCCAGUGAAUCUGAUCAUCGUCUGGAGGGAGGAGCUUAAAGUUUAAAGAAGAGAGGCUGAGUUCAUGUUCCGAGCGUCUGUCUGUGCAUCUGCAGAGUCAAAAUAUCAGCUCUUGAAUGAAAGCGCCCGUCGCCCCGC